ACUCCUACGGGAGGCAGCAGUGGGGAAUAUUGCACAAUGGGCGCAAGCCUGAUGCAGCCAUGCCGCGUGUAUGAAGAAGGCCUUCGGGUUGUAAAGUACUUUCAGCAGUGAGGAAGGCGGGUACGUUAAUAGCGUGCUUGUUUGACGUUAGCUGCAGAAGAAGCACCGGCUAACUCCGUGCCAGCAGCCGCGGUAAUACGGAGGGUGCGAGCGUUAAUCGGAAUUACUGGGCGUAAAGCGCAUGCAGGUGGUUUGUUAAGUCAGAUGUGAAAGCCCGGGGCUCAACCUCGGAAUUGCAUUUGAAACUGGCAGACUAGAGUACUGUAGAGGGGGGUAGAAUUUCAGGUGUAGCGGUGAAAUAGCGUAGAGAUCUGAAGGAAUACCGGUGGCGAAGGCGGCCCCCUGGACAGAUAACUGACACUCAGAUGCGAAAGCGUGGGGAGCAAACAGGGAUUAG
rnacentral:rRNA from 1 species